rnacentral:rRNA from 1 species
GGGUUGCCCAGAGGACGAGCCUGCGGCCCAUCAGCUAGUUGGCGAGGUAACGGCUCACCAAGGCGAAGACGGGUAGCUGGUCUGAGAGGAUGAUCAGCCACACUGGAACUGAGACACGGUCCAGACUCCUACGGGAGGCAGCAGUGGGGAAUAUUGCGCAACUUGGGCGAAAGCCUGACGCAGCCACGCCGCGUGAGCGACUGAAGGCCUUCGGGUCGUAAAGCUCUGUGGGAGAGAAGAAUAAAGCCUGUGAAGAGCAGGCCUUGACGGUAUCUCCUUAGCAAGCACCGGCUAACUCCGUG